UUAUAGAUUAUGAUGGCAAAAACCAUCCCACGAAGCCGAAAUUUGGCUAGGGGUUCCUAGUUCCUAGGGAUGUUAACUGUUAAUUGAGCGGAAAAGAAAGGUAUGUGAAAGUUUUAUCGUAGUAGCACUUUGAAAAAAGAAACACUCCUGUUGAACAA